UACGAAGGGUGCAAGCGUUGUUCGGAAUGACUGGGCGUAAAGGGCGCGUAGGCGGUUUUAUACGUCAGAUGUGAAAGUCCUGGGCUCAACCUGGGGAUUGCAUUUGAUACGGUAAGACUAGAGGUUAUGAGGGGAGAAUGGAAUUGCUCGUGUAGAAGUGAAAUUCGUAGAUAUGAGCAGGAACACCAAUGGCGAAGGCAAUUCUCUGGCAAUAACCUGACGCUGAGGCGCGAAAGCGUGGGGAGCAAACAGG
rnacentral:rRNA from 1 species